CUUGUUAACUGUUCCUUCUUCUAUGUCGUGUUCACUAAUCUUUGUCCUUACCAUACGUCACACGGGGUGAAUGUUAUAUCAUCAUCCAAAUCCUGGCAGACAACACUGGUUCCAACACUCAAGAUGGGACUGAACGUACGUACCUGAAUUGCAAUGCUUCAUCAUCCUCUGUAAUGUGUUUACUUUAUGCCAUAAAAGGCAAAAAAGGGGGAGGAGGGGGCAGAAUGUGACUUUUAGG